rnacentral:rRNA from 1 species
GACGAACGCUGGCGGCGUGCUUAACACAUGCAAGUCGAACGGAAAGGCCCUGCUUUUGUGGGGUGCUCGAGUGGCGAACGGGUGAGUAACACGUGAGUAACCUGCCCUUGACUUUGGGAUAACUUCAGGAAACUGGGGCUAAUACCGGAUAGGAGCUCCUGCUGCAUGGUGGGGGUUGGAAAGUUUCGGCGGUUGGGGAUGGACUCGCGGCUUAUCAGCUUGUUGGUGGGGUAGUGGCUUACCAAGGCUUUGACGGGUAGCCGGCCUGAGAGGGUGACCGGCCAGCUAGGGAGGGAGUGAGAGACAGCACACACUCGGGCGGGAGGGAGGGGUGAGGGAUAUAGAACGGUGGAGGGAACCCGGAGGAAGCGACGCUGGGGGAGGGAGGCAGUGGUGUUGUAAGCAAAUUUCGCUUAGGAGGGAAGGUAAUGACAGUAAAUGAAUAAGAAGCCCCGGCUAACUACGUG